AAUUUGAUCGAUAAACCAGAGGAUUGAGAGAACUUCACCACUCUUUCUACCUCUCUCCGUCCACUUCUCCAACUGAUUCCCCCAACUACCAGCAACGAGAGCGACUCCGGCGAUGAUGGGUACGACGAUGGCUGGUCUAGUGAUCGAAUCAGAGCCACCCCCAAAUCUGCAUUCAAAACUUCGGCCGUGACCAUGACGACGGCUCAGGCAACGAACAGUAUGGAGAUUUUAUUGGAAACUGGAGAAUGCAAGAGGCGAAAAGAUAAAUCUUUAGAGGAAAGCUUGGAAGUAGUUUGAAUUAUUACGUCUGUAUGUAAGGAAACUGGAGAAUUGGAAACUGCAUAAUUAUAUGGGUGAAUGUUGAGACAUAGCUCUUAGAUCUGCACGUAAAAAGAAGCUGGGUGUAAACACGCAUUCUGUUUUACGAUUGUUGAAGUCAUUACAAGGUGACAUCAUCUUUUUGUAUUUCCAUAUAUGGAAGUGUCAGCUGAAAUAAUGUGCUAAUCCCUCACACAACUACUUGAGAAACACGAGCUGAGAGUUAGUCAUUAGUUGCCAUUUCUAAGGAUUAGAUAAAUCAACACCAGAGCAAUAAAUUGUUUCAUUGAAAAGUGUGUGCUUAGAGUUAUUCUUGAAGUCUGUCGACUCUAUAUAUCCUAAUCCCAUCCUUAUUUUUUAACACUAAAAACUGUAAGUUACCAUUGAAAACUGCUGUACAAAUUCCAAACACAUGUGCCUUUUGGUCUAUACGCCUCAAAGGCCAAAUGGAUUUUGCAUAUCAGAAGAAAAUAGUAGGAACUGGGAUCAUAUAAAGGUAUUGUAUUCUACUGUUUACUUGUUGCAGUUCGUGCACUAAGAAGGGAAACGGUAUUAAAUGCAGUUAUAAAGGGGAGUGCUUAGAUGUACAAUGCACAUUUAACUCAUCGCUGGGUUGAGAGUUUUUCCUGUUUCAGAAGCAUUUAAGGCCUUUGAUUUAUGUCUUGAUAAUAGCUUACUCCCUCACUGGCGGACUGGCGCCAUAAUACACUGCUCUUCCUGCUGACUUGCAUUGCGUUGAGGUGGAUCUUCUCAAGAAAAACCCUAAUAGGUUCUGGUUAAACAUGGGACAAUAUGAAGGAAGAUGGCAGAAAAUCGUCUAUGAGAAAGACUUAUGGUAUUGUAUGUCUUGUUCCAAAGAAGGUCAUGCAAAGUCAAACUGCCAACUUCAUAGCUUACUCCCUCACUGGCGGACUGACGCUAUAAUACACUGCUCUUCCUGCUGACUUGCAUUGUCUGGUGUUCCAAUUCCGUCGUCAUUUGGCCCUACCCCCACAUACUGCUGCACCACCAGCACUGAUGCAGCUGCUGCAAAAUCUGCCGAUGCCAGAAGGUCACCAAUUACUCCAAGUUCAGGGCACUCACUCCACUCAGUGAGUCCUGCUGUUAGCGGCGAUAUUAUUCCUUCUCCUCUUCCAACUAGGAAAAGAUCAUGGAUGUUGUCUAGUGCCCUUAUUACCGCCACUGUCUCCUCUCCAUUGUUCACCACCUUUUCUAUGUAAGAAAAUGAUUCGUCAGUAGCCUUCAUCAUCCUGAACUCUUUUAUGCAGUCAUCAUCAAGCUGCUUGUCUUGCUCUUUGCCUAUUUGCAGAGUUAGUAUCCCAGUAUCAUUGAGAUCAUGACUCUGGUCCAUUGUCGGCUCAACUGCAUUCGGACCCUGAAAGAAACGAAUAACAUUGAGGCUAUUCCCAGGAUGCUCAGACAUUCUCAUUGCGUACGAUAGUGCCUCUCUGUCAUCUGGCCCACCAAAGAAUAGCACAGCAAUGUUGUGAGAUACCUGACCCGCUGUCAAGCUUUUGGACCCACUUAGUCCUCUGUCAACCAAAAUCCCAAUGGAACAGGGUGCAUUUACUAGUACGUUCUGAUUCAACAUUUGGAUUUUGGAGUUGGCAGAUUCCAUCCCACCAUCAACUGUCGGUUGCUUAUGGAAUGGAACGAUGAUGAAGGCAACUCGCUUAUCCUCUGCCAAGUUGCAAAUCUCUUCAUGCAUUGUGGAGUAAGGGGAAAUGGAAGUGAGAGAUUGGACAGAGACAAAAUUGGUGUGCUGCUCCAAGGUCUUAAAUGCAUUUGUAAUCUGGUCAGACUGCGCCUGCAUUCUGUUUAUGGCUGUACUGUCGGAUUUUUGAGAGUUGUGGACAAUGAGUGUAGCAGAACCAUGACCAGUGAGUUCAACUAGGUGGAGUGAGAAGACAGAUAUUGGGGUUUUCUUGGUGGGAUGGGAGGCUUCAAGGAGGCCGAUGAUUGUGGGGGCAUUCCGAGGGGUGUGGAUGCAUGCCAGUAUUCGCAUCUCGGCAUCUGCUUUUGUCUUUUGAAUUGUUCUCCUUUUGUAAGGAUAUCCAGGCUGAAAGAAGCUUGUGGGUUUAUGGAUACUAUGGCAAAGAGAAAGUGGAACGGUUCAUUAAAGCUGAAAUUUUGGAACCUAUAUGAGGCCAACUCUUAUCGUGGAGAAGAAUUUCCUGGAAGUUCAAAAAUUUUGCUAUUGAUUCUCAUAUAGUUGCCUCAUGUCUGGUUGAUCCAAGACGGUGCUGCUCAGAAGUUUUCUCCCAAAGCGCUUGUGGAGGAUGCUAGAGUUCGAGUCCUCAUGACCAGGAAGCUUACGAUGAGCUCCGCCAAGAUGCGAGGCUGGUUGAGAGGCUUAAGAAGAAGCAUGAGCAGGCGACAUGUGAGGACGAUGAGCACCAAUUGGAAGAUGAAGAUAGGCAGUGAAAAUCCCAUUGGAUCCUCAUUCACAAAUAUCCCAUUCGUUGUUAUCAUGGUCCCCGAAUAACAUACUGUUUCGUUCCCAAGCAGGCCCGGAGCUGCCAUGAUCGGCGGCAAUUGGUUCGUGCCCAUUGUUACGUGUCCUGGAAUUCAAACACCACCGCAGCCUCCUCGAAAAACAAUUCCGGUCUUGUUCGGUUCCGCGCCCGGCACAUGGAGGUUUCUUCUCAUUUGGCAAAAAUCAAAUGAAACCGGAAGAAGAUAAACAAGGAGGGAGGAGAAAAAGGAGGAGGAAGAAGACCAGAUGGUCAAACUAGUUGUUUCUAUUUCUUGACCGUUGGGAUUGAAAAAGGGUAGUACAGCUCAGUCUUGCUAUUUGUGGCUGCGCCCAGCCCUAUUUUGGCUCCAACUGAUCGUUUUGUCAAAGACAUACUAAAUAAGUACAACCUGGUCUUGUCUUUGAAUUUCGUCAACUAAUCCCCCUUUGCCUGUUAGUAGGAUAUCGGGAACUCUAAGGCCACCGACCAUGGCCACCGACUUGAUGGCCCCAUUGACAGCAAUUCUCGAAUUUGUUUCAUCUGCCUCAA